UUCUCUUCCAUUCCUAAAAAGGUAUAGACAAUCCAGUACACACGAGCUAGGUGACCCUGUUGUUACCACUGGUGCGGCUGCUUUGGGAUGAAAUUUGGGCUAAAAAGAAAUGGAGGAUACGGUACAGAUCAUCAAGUGUAAGUCGUAGGAAAUCAUUGGUCCAGCUUCUUUGAGAUGACACUUGGACUGGAAAAACAUGAAAGAUAAAUAUUAAGCAAAGAUCAUCAAGCUAAUUGAUCAGUGUAUAGGAACCACUGGUCUUUGGGAUGACACUUGGACUGGAAAAACAUGAAAGAUAAAUAUUAAGUAAUAAAAGAAUGAAAGAAAUUGAAUGGAAAACUACAUAUAUCGAGUGCUUUGAUAAACAGUUAGGAACACUUCCAUCCAUUUAUAGGCAAAGAUCAUCAAGCUAAUUGAUCAGUGUAUAGGAACCACUGGUCUUUGGGAUGACAGUUGGACUGGAAAGAUAUGGAAGAGAAAUGAUAACUUCAUCUCCGGACCUUAAAAGAAGAAGCAAGAACAACUGUAACAGCUUAGAUAGGCAUAGAUAGGAAUUACCUGGACAUUAUAUAGCGAGACAGUCAUCAAGGAUGGAUCCAGGGGGCUGUGACACUCCACUCUUGACCCAGGGAAGGGCCGAUCCCCUAACCAUACCUGACAUCACUGAAAUGAAAUGCUAUUCAAUCAAAUCAAGUUUUUUAGAGCGAUGAAAUGCGGUGAAAAUGUGAGUGGAUUUCAAUGCCCUUCUGAAACCAAAGUUCAAUAAAAACCCUGGAUCCACCCUUAGAUAAUGCAUAAGUGAUUUCCGAGAUGUGAGAGCGCUUUCAACACUAAUAUGGCUGGCGCAAGCAUGAAAACGAGGAAUGAUAUUAGUGAGUUUUCGGAAAAACGCUCGAAAAUGCGUCAUUUAUACUCACACAUCAAAAUAACGAACAGUAAAUAGAGCUAUAAAAUACACAUGAAAGCAUUAUUUCCAAGAAAAAGAAAUUUUUAAU